GUCUGGCGUCUGUAGAAACGAAUCGCAACAUGGUUUACUGUUACGCAUUUCGGUGUACUCACCGGACAGGAGGGAAACAUACGUGUAGUUUGUUCAGAUUCCCAACAGAAACAAAGGAACGAAAGAUAUGGAUUGAAAGAUGCAGGCGUGCUGACUAUAUAACCCCAAUGACAGGAUAUGUGCAGCUGUCACUUUGAGGAAGGGAAAAAGGAAUUUGGGCCAACUAUAUUCGUAUACAGCAAAAAUGUCAACUGUUUUCCAGAUAUUCCAACACCUAAAAGUAACCAUCAUCUUUACCAUGUAGUGGCUGCCUCAUCACUCGGAUCAUCCAUAUUAUGUGCAACAAAAUGAGGACCAGGAUGAGGAUGUUGCUGUGGUUGAAGAUCCCUAAAAACUAUCUAAAUCAGAUGCUGCUCAACACCUCAUUUACAGCAGAUGUAUUCCAAGUUUUGGUGAACAUGCUAUACAGGUUAUCACCAUUCAAUUACUAUGCUGGAUGGACAGUUACAUGUUUCAGCCUAGAGGACCAGCUACUGAUGACAUUGAUGAAAUUACGUUUAAACUGCAAAGAUAUGGAUUUGGCUGUUAGAUUUGGGACAAGUAGGGCUACUGUAUCUAAUAUAAUAAACACCUAUAUUUCAGUGUUACACAAAAUUUUGUGUGAGGGAGUGAUGACAACCUUCGGUAUUCCUAGCCAGCUUAAAGUGACAAUUUAGUCAAGUUUGUUUACUUUUUUAUCAUUUCACGAAAGUGUACUUCAGUUCUCCUUAUGAACUAUCCUUGGUCAUAUAUUGAUACAAAUUUAUGUUUUCCAUGCGUUUUUUAAUUAAUUGUAAGGCGGAUCCUAAUCGUAUAACCAUACGAUUUAUAUGCAAAUGAGCAAGUCGUCUCUAGUCUCUCUAUACACUUUGUAUACAUGUGUACAAGCACAGCCCCGUCUCGUGACUGUAAACAACAUUGGUUUGCAUUUGAAGCUGUUAGCGGAUAUUUUAACAAUAGGUUGCAGCUAGGUCUUGUACCAAACGUAGAAAGUGAAUGGAUAAACAAAAUAUAUGGAGAAUUACUGUUAGGUCAUGAAUAUAACAAAUGUGAGUUUUUCGAACGGUUGCGACAACAAUGAAGAAGUUCAUACAGUUGUGAGCGAGUUUGCCGAGACUUGACCUAGAUCGACCUACGGAGUUAUGUUGAGUGCGAUAUUUUUGUUCUGUACAACUUCCAUUAUCAUAAUUCCAUUCGUACUUGUUAUAAGUAUUGUUCUGAUUACAUCCUGGAUGGAAUAAAUCACAUAGAUGAGUGUUAGCGUUUGUUUGCAUGUUGUAAGUCGAAAUCCAAAGAAAUAAGUAUACAUUGGAUCUACCGUGUCGUCACUUACAAUCAACUCUGUUCCCGCCAGAGGGCGGAACAAGUUGCACUAUAUUUGGAGCAUAGCUAUAUUUGACGUGGUCUUUCCCAAAACUUAAACUGACAAAAUGGACAUUGGCUACGUAGCAGAUAACUGUUGACCGCAGAUUAUAUAGUCUGGGUAUAUGUUUUAUUGAUUCUGCUUGAAUUAUAAAAAGGAUGCUUGACUAGAUUGUCCCUUUAAAUGCAAGGGGUCUAUGCCCAAAUCAUUUGAAGAUUUUACAUCUGCUAGGAUAACAAUAAUUGCAACAUAAGUUGUUCAAGAUGUUCCUUCUGACAUGAACAGCCAGUCUCUAGCCUAUAGUAGUUACAAGAGUAGGCAUACAGUGAAAGCUGUCACAUGUGUUGCCCCAAAUGGAGCACUGGUUUAUUGCUCGGACUUGUACCCUGGUUCUACAUCUGAUGCUGCAACAGUAGAACAUUGCAAACUUUUAGACCAGCUUAAAGCAGGGGAUAUGAUACUUGCAGACAAAGGUUUUAAUAUAUUUGAUAAACUUCCUGCUGGUGUGUCAUUAAACAUUCCACCUUUUCUUUCAACAAAAGGUCAUUUAACAAAAGAAGAGGCUGAGCUUUGUUACAAAAUUGGAAGGAGCAGAAUUCAUGCUGAAAGAGCCAAUGAAAGAAUAAAAAAUUAUGACAUUUUGAAUCAUAUACCAGCUCAUAGGCAUUUGUCUACACAAAUAUUUCAGCUAUGUUGUUGUCUUAUUAAUCUUCAAGCACCUUUGUUAAAGGAAAUUGCAUAUAAAUAUGAAAUUUAGAUUACAAGCGGUGAUGGUUCUGAUCUGCCUGCAAUAUCCUUGCCUUGUUCAGUUUUACAGUGCAAGCCCACUGAAGUAUCAUGCUGUAGGCAAUAAUUGUCUACUAUUCUUUCUAACCAUAUUACCACGGAUUGUCAAACAGGGCAAACAACAACUACUCUACUAUUUUAUUGUCUUCGGUAUUUUACUAUUUGUUUUAGUAUGUAGUUCUGAUCUACUUCUACCAACCUGGCCUUUUUCCAGUUUUAUUGUGCAAGCACACUGAAAUAUCAUGCUGCAGAUAGAAAAUAAUCACUGCUCUAUCCUUUUAACCACUUGCAGUGUUUAACAGAUUUAUAGUGAUAGCUUUAAUUACUGUACCAUAGGGUUAUGCUGCAGAUCAGAACCAAUAUUUAACUCUAUCAUAAUCAUUACUGCUUUACUUUAUCAUUACUGCUUUACUUUUGCAGCAUGAGGCGGUCGUUUCUAUUUUACAACAUAUCCACUUAUAUAUAUUAUUGUAACAAAAAUGAUAUGUUACAAAUAUUUGUUACAUUUAUUUCCUUUUAUUUGUAGGCACAUAAUGUAAAAAACAAUAUAGUGGUGAACAUGUUUAUGGAUACAAACAAUUAUUCAUUUUUUUUUCAAUGUUACAAAAUGUCUGCAUUAUCAAUGGUCAAUGUUUUGUUUCUGUUAGUAAAUAUGAUUGUCAGCUUAAAAUAAAAUUGCCUGGAAAUCA